GAUGAACGCUGGCGGCGUGCCUAAUACAUGCAAGUCGAGCGAACAGACGAGGAGCUUGCUCCUCUGACGUUAGCGGCGGACGGGUGAGUAACACGUUGAUAACCUACCUAUAAGACUGGGAUAACUUCGGGAAACCGGAGCUAAUACCGGAUAAUAUAUUGAACCGCAUGGUUCAAUAGUGAAAGACGGUUUUGCUGUCACUUAUAGAUGGAUCCGCGCCGCAUUAGCUAGUUGGUAAGGUAACGGCUUACCAAGGCAACGAUGCGUAGCCGACCUGAGAGGGUGAUCGGCCACACUGGAACUGAGACACGGUCCAGACUCCUACGGGAGGCAGCAGUAGGGAAUCUUCCGCAAAGGGCGAAAGCUUGACGGAGCAACGCCGCGUGAGUGAUGAAGGUCUUCGGAUCGUAAAACUCUGUUAUUAGGGAAGAACAAAUGUGUAAGUAACUAUGCACGUCUUGACGGUACCUAAUCAGAAAGCCACGGCUAACUACGUG
rnacentral:rRNA from 1 species